rnacentral:lncRNA from 1 species
UGCCAUGUUCCUAAAAAAAAAAAGAGACUUUCUCUCUGUUUCUCCCUGGGCAUAGCUCUGGGGUUUGGUCAGGGCCCGUCGACCGUCCACCAUUGCUGGCGACGGUAACCAUCGUCGGUGGUGGCCGGAAAGGCACCAAAAACCUAAUCUGAACCCUCUUUUCAUGUAAAAACGGGUUUAGAACUGAAAGAUUUCAAAAUCGAACCCAAAAAUUCUCAAAAAGGAAAGACCUUUCAAUUUUUGGUCUCCUCCGCAUUGACUUCAGCCGGAUCCCCAGGGAUCUGUCGGCCUUCGGACCCGAAAAGCCAACACUGAUGGUACAAAGACCAAACGACGGGUAAAAAGUCUUCUUUUAUAUAUUUACUUAUUGUUUCUGUUUUCAAAUUAAAAAAAAUAAAAGGUAAAAAAGAAAAAUCACCUUAAGGGCUAAAAUCUGAUUUCUCACAUUGGAUUUGCUUUUUGUAUUUUUAAGUUCUCUGUUUUUGAAUUUGAUUGUCUGUAAAUAUAUUACAUUGAUGUGUUUGGCUUUUAUAGCCAUUUUCAACACUAUGUUUCAUUUUGCUAUUAUUUCUAUUAUUUCUGCCUUCGUCUCUACUUUUCUGCUCUAUUUCUUUCUUCGUUCUCUUUGCAGGUCUAAGUGAGGUCAACGGAGGCGGGUUUUUGCCAUUUUGGUGCAAAACGACUAAAGGUGCCAGGCCUCGGGAUGAGGCGCAGGCGAGGCAAUCGAGGGUGGCUGCAGAUGGGCGCGGCGCAUUAGGGUUUAGGGUUAGGUUUUGUUUCUGAAUUGGCUUUAGGUUUUGGGAUUUUUUUGGGUCUGUAUUUUAUUUGGGCCUUGUAAACGGGCUAGUGUAAUUGGGCUAAGGAUUUUUGUAAGGGGUUUAAACUAUUAUUAUUUGAUUUUAAUUGUGUUUCGGGUCCCGGGCAAAUUUGGCCCGUUACAGUAGUCACUUCACUUCAUUCCAUUCAUAGUUGUGAAUAUAUUUGAGAACAUUUACUCAAACACUUGGCUUGCUAUUUUCCUUUAGCUUUUCUAUUCUUCGUUGCUCUUUCGUUCCGAGUGUGCUUCUUUUAUAUUUUCGGUGCCUUAGAGAAUUUCUGUAAAAUUCUCACCUUUGAGAGAGCUAUGCUGAAUCGGAGCAAGGAAAUUACCUAAG